UGAUUGUGAUUCCUGCUAUAAGGAUAAUGAUUAGGCAGAAGGCUCAAGUGAGGGAGACUUCUUGGCUGGUAUUCCAAUCGAAAGGAGUUACACUAUAUAGGGCACAGGUCAACUGCGCAGGCGCAGCAUGACGUCCGACCGAGGAAAUCGAAACCUACCUGGCCGCGCCCACCUCACGGCCCUCGACCCACCCGCAUCCCGCCUACCGCCCUCCCACUCCCACUCCCAGGCCCAAGACAUAAAAGCUGCUCCCGGCAGGCGCGCGGCGUGAACUUCCUCGGCCCCUCCUCAUACGCGGACCUAGGAACCUUGCCCGAGAACGCCGGAGCGACUUCCUUGGCCUCCGCUGCCAGAGACCGGUGAACUUCGCCCCCUCUUUCUAUACAUUGGCUACAUAAUAAAGUUUCCUUUUUAUCUUG